UACGUAGGGUGCAAGCGUUGUCCGGAGUUAUUGGGCGUAAAGAGCUCGUAGGCGGUCUGUUGCGUCGGCUGUGAAAACCCGGGGCUCAACUCCGGGCCUGCAGCCGAUACGGGCAGACUAGAGUUCGGCAGGGGAGACUGGAAGUUCCUGGUGUAGCGGUGAAAUGCGCAGAUAUCAGGAGGAACACCGGUGGCGAAGGCGGGUCUCUGGGCCGAUACUGACGCUGAGGAGCGAAAGCGUGGGGAGCGAACAGG
rnacentral:rRNA from 1 species